CUCUCUCACAAUUCCCUGCUUCUGUCGCUCUUGAACCUCGAUUCCUUUCGCUCUCCAAGGCUACCUUCUCUCCCUCUUCCACCGUGCGAUCUUUGUCUCACAAAUUACCAACCGCACUUUCUUGCUAAAAAACCUUCACUGCUUUCUCUGUUGCUAGAGGUUGCUUUCUCUUCUGCUCCCGCAGGGCCUUCAGUUCUCACUUAGAUUCCAGAGUAGAAGUCCAGAAAGCUAAUAUGGCAAAGCGAGAGCUUUCCAGCACUCUCAGGAACUUAAAAGUUUAUGCAAAGAGCAACUUAGAAGGAGGUGAAGAAAGAAGAAGAUGUCAAACGAUACCUUAUCACCUCAGGUACCUUUUAGACCUAUUGCAUGUCAAAAUCAGCUUCAAAUUUGUGAUUUAAUAUAAUUGAAUUUUAACAAGUUUUUAGUGAUUUUGUAGAAUUUUACGUUUAAUAACCAAGUGGAUUACUUUACUUGGUUGGACCUGUUUUUAUAGCUAUAUUUCAACCUUUCCUUUGAUGGCUUUUAACGAUUGGAUUUCUCGAGUCUACUUUCCAUGCUUUGACCAUUUCAUUUGGCAGAGGGUUCUGGGUUUUGGAGAAUUCUUCAUUAAAUUGAAUUUUUUGUGAUUAAAUUUCUGGGUUAAGUAGCGGUUUUUGAGGUUGUGGUCUCCAAAAAAAGUUGAUGCAGGUUUCCUUUCUAUGAACCUGAUUUUGGAUGGGGAAAGCCACCAUGGGUGACUUCAGGUACGGAGUUCAAGAAUCUAAUUAUGUUAAUGGAUACACGAGAUGGAGAUGGCAUAGAAGUAUCCUUGAAUCUCAAGAAAGAAGACCUGGCCAUAUUUGAAAGCACUAAGGAGCUGCUUGAGGUGCUAAUGUGCCUCCACCAUUCAAUUCAUUUGAAUCUACUGGUCUCCCAUAUGAGAUUCAGAGGUUUUGAGCUUCCACAAAUUUCAAGGCGUUCAAACUUUACUCUCGAAUGAAAUGGAUCAAUUUGUUUGCAGCUUGAAGAUUUCUACUUUCACCAAGUUUAUCUCCAACUCCAGGCUUUGAAAUACAAUGUUGUUCUAGGCUAUCAUCUAGAUUCCCAAUCACAUGUUUCCACGGCGGUUUCAAAGAGGUCCUUGAGACGAUCAGAUGCUGUACUCAGCAGCCACCAUUAUAAUAAGGUAAGACUGAGCGUCAUUCUCUUGGUCACUAGAUGCCUUGAGAAUUUAUAGUCACUCACCCAACUUGGGAUUUGAGUAAUCAUGAAUAACUCGAUUUUGUGUUACUAUGUGAUGCGGUGGUGAGAGGACUUUGGUAUGGGAGGGAGGACUAGAGAGAGAUGUUUAGAUUUGAGAAGGGUAAUUGGUAUUGAAAAUUGAGAUGCCUGUAUACCAUGGCAGGGUCGGUUCCAGCUUUUUCUUUUCCUUGGUAAUUACUAUAAAUACAAAUGGAUGGUGCAUACAAAAUACUAUAACUUCAAGAAAAAACAAAACAGACCCAGAUACCAAUUCACUUCAGUCCCCAAACAUCUCGAUCCAUUCCAGCUUUUUCUCUUCCUUGCAUGGAGAGUUGUACAAGGCACUUUCUGCAAUUUAUUGCAAAAUAAUGUCAGUUAUCCCUUCUUUGGAUACAACUCAAACUGGGAGCAAGUCUGGUAUCCAAGCUUUACGUUCGUUGCAUGUAGCACAUGAAAAGUCUAAGAAUGUAGUAAGCUUUAUUUGGCGGAUUGCAGGUGCAUAAUCUUUUAUAUAA